UGAGGAAUCUUGCGCAAUGGGGGAAACCCUGACGCAGCAACGCCGCGUGAGUGAGGAAGGUCUUCGGGUCGUAAAGCUCUGUCAGGCGGGAAGAAAUGGAUGGAGGUGAACAGCCGCCAUGCUUGACGGUACCGCCAGAGGAAGCACCGGCUAACUCCGUGCCAGCAGCCGCGGUAAUACGGGGGGUGCAAGCGUUGUUCGGAAUCAUUGGGCGUAAAGAACGUGUAGGCGGCUUGGUAAGUCAGAUGUGAAAGCCCUGGGCUCAACCAGGUAAGUGCAUUUGUAGCUGCCAGGCUAGAGUAGGGAGGAGGGAAGUGGAAUGCCUGGUGUAGCGGUGAAAUUCAAAGAUAUCAGGAGAAACACCGGUGGCGAAGGCGACUUCCUGACCCUAUACUGACGCUGAGAC
rnacentral:rRNA from 1 species